CACGUAGGGGGCGAGCGUUGUCCGGAAUCAUUGGGCGUAAAGAGCUCGUAGGCGGCUCGGUAAGUCGGUGGUGAAACCCCCAGGCUCAACCUGGGGACGCCACCCGAUACUGCUGUGGCUAGAGUCCAGUAGGGGAGUGUGGAAUUCCCGGUGUAGCGGUGAAAUGCGUAGAUAUCUGGAGGAACACCGGUGGCGAAGGCGGCAUCCUGGACCGGUAUUGACGCUGAGGCGCGAAAGCCAGGGGAGCAAACGGG
rnacentral:rRNA from 1 species